UUGAAAUGCAAGCAUUUUACUUUUUUUGUAUCAUGUUUUUGCUGUUAUAUAAGCUAUUAAUUGAGAUGAAUACAUUCUUGACAAGAACAAAAGCUAUUCCUUUGUGUUGAAUUAAUUUCUGCGUAUGUAUGAUUAUGAUGGGGUCACUACACGUUAAACAAGACAGUAUAGAGGAACACUGUCGAUAAUCAACACUUAAAUAAAUAUACACACCACUCUUCCUCGCCCGC
rnacentral:lncRNA from 1 species